CGUAAUAAUAGAAACUAACCAGGAUUCCCUUAGUAACGGCGAGUGAACUGGGAUACCAAUAAAAUAUAUAUGCCACUCGUUGGCGUAUAAUUUAGCCCGUCGAUACUAUCCUAGCAUAUUUACCUACGGCUUCGGCUGUUCGUAAAAUAAUAUGCGGGAAUUGUAGCAUCGUAAUAAAAAAAUAUACGUACAACACGCACACCGCAACGCCAUAAGCGUAUAUAAAAAGAACCUUACUUGUAAACACACAGCGUACCCGCGUUGGGAAGCAAGUAUAUAUCCUUUUGGAUAUGCCAUAGAGUGUGACAGCCACGUUUCACCCUAUAAUAAAAGGUCAUACGCAUAACACACCGAUACACCCAAAUGGCAAUGCAUCGUGCAUACCGUACGAAAAAUAUAUUUUUUAUAUAACCUGAGUCGAGUUAUUU
rnacentral:rRNA from 1 species